GGUAUCCUUACUCCUGUUUGUGGUAUUUCAGCAAUAUUGUGCUUUGAUGUAGCUAGAAGGAAAGCAUCAUCUUCUCAUACAUUCCGUAGCAAGUUUGAUCAUUACAUCGCCAUAGCAGGCUUAUCAUGGGUGGGUUGGUUUGCCAGACGAAAGUUGGAUAAAUGUUGUAAAAAUGUGACCGAGACCCAAAACAAACUUUUGCUUGGCCGAUUAAAAGAAAAUGCUGAAACCCAGUAUGGUAGAGAGUAUAAGUUCUUGGAAAUACAAACCAGGGAAGAAUAUGUUAAACAGCAUCCACUUACUUAUAUAUCUCAUUAUGAGCCCUACAUCCAACAGAUGAUGAAAGGAGAAGAGAAGGUUCUCACCAGUCGGCAGCCUGUUAUAUUUGCUGUGACCUCAGGGACUUCUGGGAAGUCUAGUAUUCUUCCAAUGACCAAGCACCAAGGCUUCAUGUUCUUCAUUCAGGGGAUAUCAGUGGUUUAUCAUAGUCUUUUGAAAACGUUUCCAGAAAACAACAAUCUUCAGAAGACAUUAAAGUUUUUCUACACACCAAAAUGGAGAAAGUCGGAGUGUGGAAUACUUAUAGGGCCCAAUUCGUCCUCUCCAACGAACUCCAAGCAUUUGCUGAACAUUUACUCCACCCCAAAAGCUGGCUUUGCAAUUCUCAGGGAACCAGAGGCGCUGUAUGUGCAUUUGUUGUUUGGUUUAGCAGAUAAAAGUUUAGGUAUGUUGGAGGCUAAUUUUUCCUCUCUCAUUUUGUCAUCUUUUGAUGCACUCUACCGGUAUUGGUCCGACAUUGCGGAUGACAUCCAGAGGGGAGAAGUAAAUCCAAAACUCAACAUUGAUGAAUCUGUAAGAAAGGAAUUAAAUGCUGCCUUAACACCAAAUCCUCAACGAGCCAAUGAAAUUAGAGAUGUAAUGAAGACAGGUAGCAAGGUUGGAAUUGGUAAGCGUUUGUGGCCAGACUGUAACCUCAUAUUAUCCGCCGACUCAGGUAGUUUUGAUCUUCCAGCAAAGAUACUCAGGGAAACUUACUGUGAAGGAAUUCCUAUCUAUUCUCCACUGUAUGCAGCCUCAGAAGGACUGCUAGGACUUAACAUCUGGCCAAAAAAUCAUCCAAGUCGAUAUUUGCUGGCCGUACAGUCCAUGUUUUUUGAGUUUAUUCCUGUGGAACAUUCUACAGAGGAUCAACCUUGUACACUCUUUAUGGAUCAGGUGGAGAAGGGAGAAGAAUAUGAAUUGGUGAUAACCAAUGCUAGUGGUUUUUAUAGAUACCGCUUUGGGGACAUUGUCAAAGUGGUUGACUUCUACCAUCAGUGUCCUGUAAUUGAAUUCAAACACAGGAAAGGUCAGUUUCUGAAUGUAAGAGGUGAAAAGACGUCAGAGUCGCUCUUCUACCAGGCAUUGACCAAAACAACAUCUGCCUGGUUUCCAAGGAAACUGCUCAAUUACUGUUGUGUUGAGAGUUUAUUGAUAGAAGAUAAAGGUGACAGUUAUGCCCCAUUCUAUCACCUUUUCCUUGAAGUUGAUGAUGAUUCCAAACCUCUAACUGUAGAUCAAAGAGAAAUGAUUGACAAAGAGUUGUGUUCCAGGUCCUAUGUUUACGAGUCUUUCAGGAACAAAGGCAGCAUUCAACCUAUCAAAGUGCACCAGGUGAAAGUAGGGACUUUCGAAGAACUGCGUAAAUUUACAAUCGACAACAGUCAGGCAUCGGCCAAUCAGUACAAAGUUCCCAGGGUUCUUAAAACUAAAGAAGCUGUCAGUGUUCUAUUGAAAAAUGUUGUGAAUGAGUUGUGAUAGUCACACAAUUGGAAAUUUGAAAAAAUUGUGUAUUGUUAUCAUAUUUAUUCCAUUCUCUGGGACUAUAAACAAUCAUGUUUUCUUUAUCUGUAUGGUUAAGUUGUGUGUCAUAUGUGCAGUUCAUGUAUUACAUAUCAGGUAGCAUACAUAGGAUAAGCAGGCUUAGUGAUAAAGUUU
rnacentral:misc_RNA from 1 species